rnacentral:rRNA from 1 species
CAGCAGCCACGGUAAUACGGAGGGGGCUAGCGUUGUUCGGAAUUACUGGGCGUAAAGCGUGCGUAGGUGGUGGUUUAAGUCCGUUGUGAAAGCCCUGGGCUCAACCUGGGAAUUGCAGUGGAUACUGGGUCACUAGAGUGUGGUAGAGGAUAGUGGAAUUUCCGGUGUAGCAGUGAAAUGCGUAGAGAUCGGAAGGAACAUCUGUGGCGAAGGCGACUAUCUGGGCCAACACUGACACUGAGGCACGAAAGCGUGGGGAGCAAACAGGAUUAGAUACCCGUGUAGUCCCUGUCUCUUAUAA